rnacentral:rRNA from 1 species
CGGAAGUUACUGCUAUCGAGGUUCGACUAAGCCAUGCGAGUCGAAUGUAGCAAUACAUGGCGUACUGCUCAGUAACACGUGGAUAACCUACCCUUGAGACGGGGAUAAACCCGGGAAACUGGGUAUAAUACCCGAUAGAUCUCGACUGCUGGAAUGCAUCGAGCUUGAAAGCUCCGGCGCUCAAGGAUGGGUCUGCGGCCUAUCAGGUAGUAGUGGGUGUAGCGUACCUACUAGCCUACGACGGGUACGGGUUGUGAGAGCAAGAGCCCGGAGAUGGAUUCUGAGACACGAAUCCAGGCCCUACGGGGUGCAGCAGGCGCGAAAACUUUACAAUGCUGGAAACAGCGAUAAGGGGGCCUCGAGUGCCAGGUUACAAAUCUGGCUGUCGUGAUGCCUAAAAAGCAUUGCAUAGCAAGGGCCGGGCAAGACCGGUGCCAGCCGCCGCGGUAACACCGGCGGCUCGAGUGGUAACCGUUAUUAUUGGGUCUAAAGGGUCUGUAGCCGGCCGGAUAAGUCUCUUGGGAAAUCUGGCAGCUUAACUGUCAGGCUUUCAGGAGAUACUGUCUGGCUCGAGGCCGGGAGAGGUGAGAGGUACUUCAGGGGUAGGGGUGAAAUCUUGUAAUCCUUGAAGGACACCAGUGGCGAAGGCGUCUCACCAGAACGGACCUGACGGCAAGGGACGAAAGCUAG